GCUUUGGUGGCUCAGUCGGUAGAGCGUCAGUCUCAUAAUCUGAAGGUCAUGAGUUCGAACCUCAUCCAGAGCA